GACGUAGGGCGCGAGCGUUGUCCGGAUUUAUUGGGCGUAAAGAGCUCGUAGGCGGCUUGUUACGUCGUUCGUGAAAACUUGGGGCUCAACCCCAAGCUUGCGGUCGAUACGGGCAGGCUAGAGUUCGGUAGGGGAGACUGGAAUUCCUGGUGUAGCGGUGAAAUGCGCAGAUAUCAGGAGGAACACCGAUGGCGAAGGCAGAUCUCUGGGCCGUAACUGACGCUGAGGAGCGAAAGCAUGGGGAGCGAACAGG
rnacentral:rRNA from 1 species